CUGCAGCUCCGCUUUAACCCCUAGCCUGGGUACUUCUAUAUGCCAUGGGUAUGGCCCUAAAAAGGCAAAAAAGAAAAAAAAAUAAGAAAAAUUCGAAUAAAAGAUAAGGAGAUCUUAGACUAGGAUGGCGACAGGAAGCAUGGUGAGAAGUAGUCAGAUUCUGGAUCUUUUUUGAAGGGGGGAGUCCGCUAGAUUUCCUUGUCAGAUUGUUUGUGGCACAUGAAAAAAAAGAGCCAAAGAUAAUUCUAAAGUUUAUGACCUCAGCAACUAAAAUUAAGUAGUAACAGCAGCUCAGAUGGAAAAGUGGCAGGUGAAACAGAAUUGGUGUGUGCCUGUGUGUAUGGUGGUGGCAGGGUUUAUUUGCAGUUCAGCUUUAACAUAUUAAGUUUGACAUUUCAAUUCCCCUUUUUUCCCUUUUAUUUUUUUUUUUAUGGAAGGCAGAUUUAGCCAAACAAUCUCAAGACUGUUAAAUAGGCAAAGAAGUAGUGAAGAGGGUAUGGACAAUAGGCUCCUGUGAAUCUGGACUCCAGCACCAGCUUCUCCACUUACUUGCUGUUGGAACUUUUGGAAGACACCUUAAUCUAGUCCCUUUUAAUUAUUUAAAUGCCUUAAAGGAAAGAAAUCCAGUCUCUAACUGUGUAUUCUCUGGCCUCCUCUCGCUAGAAGAUACAAACCUUGACUAAAGCUCCAAAUUUGUGUUUUGACCA
rnacentral:lncRNA from 1 species